rnacentral:lncRNA from 1 species
UCUCUAUUUCAAGGUCCCUUUCCAGCUCUGCCAUUCUAUGGCUGUGACCCUUCAGGCUUUGCUCUGCUUUAGCUAAUCUGAUUAGCUAAUUCCCGCUGAGACGUUACUGGUUCUGAGGCUGCUUGAGUCCCCCAGGUAGGAUAGCUGCUGCUGCAGCACCAAGGGCCUUCAGUCCUCCAGUCCUCCUGUGCUGAACCCAGGAGGCCUCAGACACUGGGACUCCCAGCAGGGAGAGGCAUUUGGGGUGUUGAGGAAUAGGUCUUCUUUCCUAAGCCUCGCCUCUACACCCAGCCCCCCUUCACUUCAGAGUUUACUUUCUAGCUUCCGUGGCCUUUGGCCAAGCAGUGUUUCAUUAGAGCUGUAAAACCCUGGGCUUCUCUGCUCCCACCUCCCCCUCCUCCCUCUUCUCCCUGCAGUGUCUCAUUCCAGCCAGGAAAGCUGCCUGAUGAGCUGGUUUCGCAGAGGUAUUUUUAUGCCUUGAGCUUUCUGAAAUGGGCAGGAAACAGGAAAGGAUAAACCCAGCACCCGUUAAUUAAAUCCCAGCGCGGCUGAUGCUUCCCAGGAAGAAUGUCCAAACUCUUUAGUUUGGCCUUCGAGAGUUUCCAUGGUCUGGGGACUCUUCCCUUCUGAAGGGCAUAACCACAGAGAGAGCCAGAGCCCAGUUUGUCACCUGCAUUAUAUACCUUUAGUCUUUGGAAAAAGCUUUUAUGUUUUAAGGUUUCUUUUUAAAUGUGAAGACCACAGGAGGGUUUACAAGCUCUGGGUAAGUUUCUUCUUAGCUUGUCUCUCCUUGGGCUAAAAACUCUUCAGUGACUCCCAUUGCUUGCAAAAUCGAUUCCAGUUCCUUGCCCUGGCAUUAAAAGCCUUCCAUAAAUCAGGCUCUGACCUCCCUUGCCAGCCUUCUGGGCUCUAUACUCAAAGCACUCUUCUACCUAGGCUGUUUACCCGGCACACCCCGACUGAUUUCCUCUGCCUGACUCUUUAUACCAUUCCCAUUGGCUGGAAUGCUCUUUCCCA